rnacentral:rRNA from 1 species
UACGUAGGUGGCAAGCGUUGUUCGGAAUUAUUGGGCGUAAAGGGUGCGUAGGCGGCUAUGUAAGUCAGGAGUGAAAGUUUGCGGCUCAACCGUAAAAUUGCUUUUGAUACUGCAUAGCUAGAAUUAGGAUGAGGUCAGCGGAAUGUGGCAUGUAGCGGUGAAAUGCAUAGAUAUGCCAUAGAACACCAAUUGCGAAGGCAGCUGGCUAGACCUGGAUUGACGCUGAGGCACGAAAGCGUGGGGAUCAAACAGG